GGGAAAGGUUGGCUGUGCUGCAGCUCUCUCCUCUAAAAUUCUUUUUCGGGGAAUUUAGUGUUUGUGAAGGGUGAAAAUCUGAUGCUGACAUUUGUACCCAAGGUAUCUUUGAAAGACAAAGCAGCUUGGCUCUGCGAGCUGCAUAGAAGUGAAAUACCUCUUCAAGAUGGUCUCGAGGAUUUGCCUGUGGUAGGCUUAGCAGAGCUCUCUUGAAUAAAACAGCUCUGAACAAGCAAAUAAACUGAAUGCCUUUCAUUAUACCUGUCACCAGUUUAUUUACUCCAUGGCCUCUUUCUGCCAUAAAAGUCUUGAGUGAUUUCAGCAUACUAAAACAUCUGCACUCAUUUUCAGAAAAUAACAAUGACUGCCAAUGUAUGAAAUCACUAUUUUCUCAGAACAUCUAUUGUUUGGUGUCCGACCCACAUUGUUUCUCAUCCCUUGCAAGUGGUUUACAAUGAAAUCCACUUUAUUUACUGUGAAAAGCAAAGCAUAUCAGAGUUAGACAAUUGACUGUAAGCUUUCAGUCAAUAACCAUUUAUUUUUGUGCAUGCUGCAAUGUAGUUCAUUGAUAUUGGUGGUGAAAUUCCCAUUUGGAGGUGCCUGUUGGGUCUUGUGCCAGAUCCUGGGCACCUGCUAAGUGUAAGCUGGUGUUCCUCAUCAUGCACCUUCUAAAGCUGAAUCCAAUCUGCUCAGACUCUUUCUGUAGGCUUCAUAAGCCAUCCUGCAGUGAGCACUCAAAAUUUAAGAUCUCAUAUGAAUGCAACACUCAAGCAUCACUUAACUGGAGUGCUGAUUAGGAACUUUUGCAAGAGAUUGAGCAAUUGACAAGUGAAUCAUAGCUGCACCACAGUGUCUCAGUCUUGAUUCUUGGUCUGUGGCCAACAUCGACUCCCACUGAAGGUCUUUCUUGUACAGUUUUCCUGAGGAUGCUUUGUAUGGGGUCAUCAUAUCUCAGAGAUAAACACUGGGGAACUGAAGCAUGCUAUUAAGCUUCUUAAAACAUUAGAAAGACAAUCAUUUCGACAGAAUUGAUGUUAAUCACACUUAUAUAAAAGCUUUUCAUCUUCAAAGCAUUUAACCAACAUUAAUUACAUGUAAUUGGCUUUUCCAAGUACGUCAUGCAAAAUGCACCUUUCAUGUCACUUGUCAUUGCUAUCUUACCUGGGAUUACUGAG
ensembl:lncRNA